AGCCAUGUUGUGGACAUGAAUUUACAAGAUCCUUAUAUUGCUCCCAACAUUGAAAGAAGAUCUCAUCCUCUUUUUGUGCAAAAUUCAUCAUUACUUUCCUUAAGCU